ACAACAGCUGGAGCUGCGUUGAUCUAAAGUCAGGAGCCAGGAGCCUCUGCUGGAUCUCCCACAAAAAGUGCAAGGAGGAAACCUUACUGAAUGAAGUCAAGGCCAAGAAAACAUAUGGCACUGGGAUUUCUUUUAGAUGAGAAACAUGAAACAUUCCUCUCUGCUUGUGAUUCAUGAACAGGAAGAUGAAGCAUCAUUUUCCUGCCCUUCUGAAGCUGGAAAAUCCCAUUGUUGAUAUCACUGUGUGUUCACACCAGUUUGAAUGUUUUGCUGUUGUAUAUUAUUAGGCAAAAAUGGUAGAAUCCUAUUUGAAUAAAUAAAACAAAUGCCAUCAUACCACACAUUAUUAAGAAUGUAUCUAUUCAUUCUAUCCAAAUUCCCAUUUCAAUUUUACAUGUGUAUCAGUAAUUGGCUAAAAUUUAUUACACAACCAAAAUUUUGUUACAAUUACUUAAUACUUGCCAAUUUAAUUGUUGGACAUGUUUAUUAGAAUGGAUAGUGUUAGUAAUAACAUUGAUCAGAUAUUGGUCUCUUAUGAAAACAUGGCAAUUAUGUCCAUUUUAUAGUACUAAAUAAGACAGUUUGCUUCCAUGAUCUCACUUAAUCUUUAAAUGCAUUGUACUAUUCUUCACUAGGAUACUGAGUCAUAGAGAGGUUAAGCAAUGUGCUCAAAGUCACACAGCUCAAAGGGAUCACACAAACAAGACAAGUGUCUGCUAACACUAACUGAUAGAAUCAAAAAAGGAAAGAUCCAACAUGGGAAGCGGGAGACACAGCAGACUCAUAGAAUGGCAGAUGUCCUAAACAACACUCCGGCCUCAGAAUCAGCCCUUAAGGCAUUCGGAUCUGGCUGAAGAGCCCAUGAGAGUAUUGUAGGCAUGGAAAGCCAAGAUACCAUGGAAAAGAAAAAAAAGAAGAAGACCUAAAUGAAAGAUCUCUGUUAGUGAGAUCCCAGUGGAAAGAACAGGGCCAUCAAAGAAGGAGGUACCUUUCUCUGAAGGGAGGAGAGAACUUCCACUUUGACUGUGACCCUAUCGGAAUAAGAUCAAA